rnacentral:rRNA from 1 species
UACGUAGGAGUCGAGCGUUGUCCGGAAUUACUGGGCGUAAAGAGCUCGUAGGCGGUCUGUCGCGUCGGAUGUGAAAACCCAGGGCUCAACCCUGGGCCUGCAUUCGAUACGGGCAGACUAGAGUACGGCAGGGGAGACUGGAAUUCCUGGUGUAGCGGUGAAAUGCGCAGAUAUCAGGAGGAACACCGGUGGCGAAGGCGGGACUCUGGGCCGAUACUGACGCUGAGGAGCGAAAGCGUGGGGAGCGAACAGG